GGGAGUGAUUGCAUGGCUGGUGCCGGCCACGGUUUUCAAAACCGUUGAGCGACUUGCAAACAAGCCGCUGGUGGGUUCGAUUCCCAUACACUCCCG
rnacentral:tRNA from 1 species